rnacentral:lncRNA from 1 species
AAAAACCCCAAGAGGAGGAGGAGAAGGUCACUGAAAAGCCUGAGGAGCAGGAGGAGGUCAUUGAAACACCCCAAGAGGGAAUUGCACCAGGGAAAGCAAAUGGGACAGUGGAUGACAGUAAGCAAGAGAUAGAAGAUGCUGUGAUUCCUGAUGCAAAUGGAGGAGCUGAGAAAGUGAACCUGAACCCAAAUGUGGAGGAGACGAACAAUAGCAGAGAAAUCCCAGUAAGUGAUGGAAAGAACAGCAUUCAAGCAGAGGAGCAAGUAAAUAAAAUGGUGGACAAUGGACAGGUUAUUUGGAGCUGUGCUCAGUGAAAGUGUAUCUGCAUUGAUCUUCUUCAUCUUGUAGUUUAAGGUGCUUAAACAUAGGUGGUGACUUUUGUAAUGGUAUUUAAGUUGGUGUAGCUGUUUUAUGAGCUCCUGGAUUAUUAUUGUAGUUUUGUACUGUUUCUUCAGAUUUGGUUGUAAUUAGGAUGAACACAAACGCGUCCUAGACUAGAUCUUUUGGGUUUCCAUAACCAAGUUAUGAACGAUCCUUGUAGGCUUUUGCACACAUUUGUGUUAGGAAUUAAAUGUUUUUGACUUUUACAUUUCUUGGCCUCUUUUCAAUAAUCUUUUUCAGCUACUGAUUGAAAGGGUAGAAACGAAUUUGAGUAUGUUAGAGAUGUUUUUUUAGUAGGAGAAAAAUGUUUUCUUUUUAUGACUGAUUUAAAAAUAUUUUAUUUUUAUUUUUAUCCUAUAAUUUUAAAUUUUUAGAAAAUUAAUAUAUAUUUUUUUAUAUUGUGUUAGAAUAAGAAGUUUUACAAAUAUUUUUUAAAUUAGAAGAAUUAUUAUUAAAAUAAACACGUGCUUCGCGUGGGUAAAAUGAUAAACUUUUGAGCACUAAAAAAACCUGAUUUCUAGACGCCUAUAAUUGCUUGUCUUAUUCAUUUCAAAAUUUGUCAGAAGAGAGCAUUGAUUUCAUAAUAAUAGUGUUAGAUAUUUUCAAUGCUUAAUAAUUUUUUACAUGAAAUAGGUGACGCAUUAUAAUAAAUAAUGCUUUAUUAUAUGUUUUAGGUCAUUUUCGAUACAAGGUUUAUUAUUAUAAUAAAUUAUAAAUUUUCUUACGUGUAGUAAAAAAAGAAGUUUUAAAAGGUUAGGUUUCAAACGUAUAAAAAUAUGAAUUUUCAUAAACAAAUCCUAAAUGACCUGUUGUACCAUAUUGAUGUCAGAGGGUUAUCCACAUCUGAACCUCCAAGGAGUUUGGGAAUGUAAUUUCUGUGCUUUUUCUGCACAACCAAUGGCCCAGGUAGUUGGGGGUUGGUUCCUUAAAAUAAAUGAAAAAAAUAAACUAUAUUCCAAUGGAUAAAAUUUCUGACAGUUCAGGCCACUCCUUAAAUUUAUUUUAUGAACUCUAAUUCUAAUUGAGGGUUAGAUUAAUUUAAGUAAGUAAUUAAUUUAUUUUAUUUAUAUUAAAAAGUGAACUUUAAAUAUAAUUUAAUCUUAUAAAUCUAGAUAAGAUGAGGUUCGUCAGCUCGUGCAUAAACUAUAUAUUUAAUGGUGGUUCAAUAGCGACUCUAUAACGGAUGACCUAAUAAGAUAAAUUCUAAAUGACUUUAAUAACAUAUUAAGAAGUAAACUUUAGAUUUAACUCAAUUUUUUAAAACCGUCUUAUAAAGUGAAGUUUGCACGCACUUAUAUAAUAUAUGAAAUAUUUAGUAGAUAUGAAAUGUUUUGAGUCUAUUAUGAAGUGUAAUUUAAACCUACCUCAACUUUAUAAUUUGUUUAUGAAUAAUCUGGUAAUAGAAGAUCUUAUUAGUUCAACAAACUUUCACUCAAAUAAACUUUAAAUAACUUUAAUAUCAUAUUAAAAAAUAGACUUCAAACCUAUCUCUUUAUGUAAAACUUGAAUCAAACGAAUGAACAUUGAUUUAAUUAAUGGAUUAAUGAUUUUCCAAAUAGGAUCAAACAUUGAGAUGUUGUGCAUGGGCAGUGUUGUGAAGUGUGACCCCAAGCAUGAGGGCACGAAAGGUAUUGAUGACCAAUUUACACAUCCUUGGUGUGUAGCAACGCUGCAGACACAUUGAGUUGAUCAAAAUUGUGAAAAAGGUAUACUUUAAGGAGAGUUAAAGGGUGGUGAAAGGAAGAAUAUAUUCUAAGUCCCUGAAAACAUAUUCUUGUUUUAUAUUUCAGUCAUCUUUUGUUUAAGGCUAAGAAUCUUGUUCAGAUAUUUUUGUGAUCAUCUUUUGUCAAAAAGCUAGGAAUCUUUAGUUUAUGAGGAAAAGUUUUGCAUCACCCCAAGGAUUGCCUAUCAAUUCUUCACCGUUAUUCACUUACAUAAUAUAGGGAACUCACAUCAUUUCCAUGAGUGGAAUGCUCUAUCAUUCUUAACAUCCUCACACUACAGACCAUGUUCUCUUACUCAACUUCCUUCUUUCUUUCCCUUCUCUUCUUCUCUGUAACACUUUCUCAUGGUGUGUUUUCCUCAACUCAUUUUCUCUUUUCCCACUUCAUUUUGGAUAGUUAAUAACAGUUUGCAAUGACACUUUCAUUACAAUUUAAUUUCCAUGCAUGACCAGUAACUGAACCAAUUACAAAAUCAUGAAAAAAAUACUACUUUUAGAGUAGUUAUUUCUGCAUAGAUUAUUUCCUCUUUUAUACCAUGCACAAAGUUUUGUUCAGCAUGUAGUUACUAGAUAUAAAACCGGUUUAUGAAAUGAUGUUUCAACAAUACCCUUUGGCUUGGAAACAAAGUUCAUGUUACUUUUAUGCAUGAAUUGUUUUUUAAUGACAUGGAUUUCAAAUUUUAACCAUGUUUUGAUAUUCUUGUGUGGUGCAGUUGUGGGGGAUAAAAUAUUUACUGGUACAUAUGGAGUAAACUAUGGUAGGAUUGCAGACAAUCUACCUUCUCCUGAGAGUGUGGUCACCCUUCUGAAAGCUUCCAAGAUCAGGAACAUCAGAAUAUAUGAUGCUGAUCAUCAAGUGCUGAGUGCCUUCAAAGGGUCAGGGAUUGGAAUCAUUAUUGGGCUACCAAAUGAGUUUCUGAGAGACAUAAGUCAGGGGGAGGAUCGUGCCAUGAAUUGGAUCAAAGAAAAUGUUCAGCAGUUUCUUCCAGGAACCAGAAUCCGUGGCAUUGCUGUGGGGAAUGAAAUUCUAGGAGGAGGAGAUAUGGGGCUGUGGCAAGUUUUGCUGCCAGCAGCAAAAAAUGUGUACACUGCUCUGUCUAGGCUCAAUCUGGCACACCAAAUUCAAGUUUCAAGUCCUCAUUCUGAGGCUGUUUUUGCAAAUUCCUACCCUCCAUCUGCAUGCACUUUUAGGGAUGAUGUGCUCCCUUUCAUGAAGCCCCUUUUGCAAUUCUUCUCACAAAUUGGCACUCCUUUCUACAUAAAUGCAUACCCCUUUUUGGCCUAUAAAAAUGACCCCCAACACAUUGACAUAAACUAUGCUCUCUUCAAGAAAAAUGCAGGGAUUUAUGAUGCCAAGACAAAGCUGCACUAUGACAACAUGUUCAUGGCUCAAAUUGAUGCAGCUUAUGCAGCCUUGGAGAAGGUUGGGUUUGAGAAGAUGGAGGUGAUUGUUUCUGAGACUGGUUGGGCCUCUCGUGGGGAUGACAAUGAAGCUGGUGCAACAGUGAAAAAUGCAAAGACUUACAAUAAGAACUUGAAAAAGCUCUUGCUCAAGAAAAAGGGCACCCCUUAUAGGCCUAAGAUGGUUGUGAGGGCUUAUAUUUUUGCUCUCUUCAACGAGAAUUUGAAGCCUGGUCCAACUUCUGAGAGAAACUUUGGAUUGUUCAAACCAGAUGGCAGCAUUGCAUAUGAUAUUGGCUUCACUGGACUCACUUCUUCUGCAACCUCCACCUUUCUUUCCUUCAAGGUAUGCUUCCUCUUACACUUUCUAUUACUGAGUAUGAACAUAAUUGGUGGAAAGUGAAUGCUGAUGAUGCAGCAAUUAUGCAUUUGCAGGGUAUUGGAUCUUUAUGUUUCAUGGUUUCUACUAGUUGUGCAGCUUUUCUUCUUCUUGUUGCAUUGUAAGCAAUCAAAAGAUUGAAUGUACAAGUGAAUUCAAUGAUUAAUUCUUUGGAUGUAACAAUUUUCAUAACUCAAAAGCAAUUCAAAUUGUGGAAAUUCCCAUGUAUCUGAUUUCCUUGUCUAGCUCAUUAACCUUUUUUAUAUAUAUAUAUAUUCAUCUUUAAUAUUAUUUACACUCACCAACCAAGUAUUAAUAUUGUUUUCUCCCACUAUUAUAGUGAUUUUAACAUGUUUUUAUACAAUUAUUUCUUUUAAAAAUAAUUUUGUCCCCUACUAUUAUUUAUACUUCUUAAAAAAAAUAACUCUGUACAAAAUUUAGAUUGGAUAAUAAAAAGGGCAAAUAAAUAUCAAUUUUUAACUUUUAUUUAUUACUAUAUUAUAUUCAUGCAGAACAAUUAUUUUCUAAAUAUAUUAUAUUAUUGUAAUGACUUAUGUUAAUCCUUUAGAAUUACAUCAUGAUGAGAUUAUAAUCACUGAAUUAAUAUAUUACAUAUAACUAUAACUAUUUUGAAGUCUAUAGAUUCAAAGUUAUUAUACUUGACGAAAUUCAUUAAAAAUGUAUUAUCAUAAAAAAACUACAGUUAUUAUUAAAAGACAAUCUUAAAAUUUGAAACAUUUUCUUAAUGUUAUUAAUUAUGUGAAAGCAUAUUUUCAUUUUCAAUUAAAUGCAAAAGGGAGAAAAAUGAGAAAAAUAAAUAAAUGUUUGUGGUUGGUAUGUGAAGACUUUGAAAGUAUGGCGUAACGACUAAGGCCGAAGAGUGGCGUUUCCAUCGGUGCGGCCACACCAACCACACGUUAAAGAUAUAAUUCUAAUUUUUCAUGUUUCAAUUUUUUUAAUGAAAAGAAAAAUUAUUUUUGUAAAAAAUUUAUUAUAAAAAUAAAAUUAAAAAUUAAAAAUAAUAGAAUCCAAUUACAUGAAAAACGUUUUAUAAAUUAUUUCAUUAAGGAAAGUAAAAUCAAUUGAAAUAUAAUUAUAAGAAGCGUGAGAUUAUAUAUCAUGUUUAUUAAAUGGCGGAUGUUAUAAUAAAUUCAGCAAAUUUUUGUUAAGAUAGUAUUCUUAUCAAACGCAGUUUAUAUAUUUCCUCUUCCCUCAACUUACCAAGAUAAAUUUUAAAGACAAAAUCAUAAUGGAACAUCGACCUCCAAAAUAAACGGAGGGAUUCUUAUUUGUACAAAUGAUACUUUAAACUUGAAACGAGUAUGAAGAAAUUAACUAUACUUCUUUACCUUUUGAGUUGUGAUAACUUAAUUUUAUAAAAUUAGGAUUUAGGGUUUGGUGAUUAAGAAAAUAAAUAUCAAUACCUAAAAUAUUUUUCCUUUUUUUACAUUCCAUGAAAGUCAAGUUUAUCUUUGACUUGCCACUUUGAUUUCUCCCUUUAUUUAUAGCUUGGCUCUCCAUUCAAAACACUCCAACCAAAAAAGACAAACACAACCACCUUUGCCACUCUUCUCUUCACUUCCAUUUACACAACAAAACAUAUCUUGCAAGAAAUAUGAACAUGAUGAUCAACAACAUGUUUAGUUGUCUCUGUCUUAGUGCAGUGGUGCCAUUUUUAAUGUCUGUGCAGAACACAGAGGCACAGAGCGUGUUCGUGGUUGGAGAUGCCACCGGUUGGACAACUCCACAAGAUUCCUCCACAUACCAAUCUUGGGCUUCUGACAACACUUUUGCAGUUGGAGAUAUUCUGAGUAAGUCUUCUAUUUACACCACCAUUUUUUACCUUAAUUAUCCAUGCUAAAAAGACAAUGAAAAACUACAAUCAAAAUAAUUUUUUGUUUUCUUUAAGUCUUCAAUUUUCAGACAACACAACAUAACGUUGUUCAAGUGUCGGAAGAAUCAUACACAUCGUGCACUUCGAGUAAUCCUAUAGGUACAGUUUAUAACACGGGUCCGGUCAACGUUACUCUUAACAGAACUGGUCAACAUUACUACAUCUGUAGCAUUGGUCAACACUGUACACGUGGACAGAAGUUAGCCAUUAACGUUCUAGCCUCUGCUGUGCCACCUUCCACCGCCACUCCACCGCCGCCUCCACCACCGCCGAUGUCUCUUGCAUCCACUUUUUCUCCUUCUCCCAUUCCCUUCAUCUUCAUAUGUUCAUUAGUUUUUGUGUUUUUUUACGCACACUAUUAAAAAAUUAUUAAAUAAAAUUUAAUUUUAAAAACUAAAAGUAAUUAGUUAUUAUAUUAAUUAAAUUAUAUAUUAUUUUAGAGAUUAAAAAAUUAUUAAUUUUAAAUUAGUUUCUAUUAUUAAUAAAUAACAUUUAAAUUGGUAUCUAAUUAACUAUCAAGAUUUUAAUGAUAAAUUAUCUAGAUUCUAAAUUUAAUAGAAAAAUCUCGAUAGCUAAUUAAAUAUCAAUUUAAAUACUAUUUAUCAAUAAUAAAAAUUAAUUUAUAAAUUAAUAUUUUUUUUAAUUUUUGAAAUAGUAUCUAAUUUACUUAAUAUAACAAUUAAUUAUUUUUUUUUAAAAAAUUGAUUAUAUUUAAUAAUAUUUAGUGUUAAUGCAUCGAGCAUAGGAGGUUUAAUACUAUUUAUGUGUGUGACCUACUAAUAAAUAUUUGUUUACUAUGUUGGAGUUGUAGUAUUAUUCAUUAUAGUUUCAUCAAUAAAAACUUUUAUGUUUUCUAAAUUUAGCUCAAAAGUAAUGGUUGAUGUAAUUUGCAAUAAACUAUAUUCUCAAUUAGUCAAAAGUUUAAUUUAAUUUGGGUAGUUGAGAAAUGCUUAGUUAAGCCAUUUAAUCUUAUUGAAUAUUUAUUUUUCUCGUAAAGUAUUAUGAGAAUUGAAUGAUGAUUUUGCUAACUUUAGUUGUAAAUUAUUUUGAAAAAUUAUUGGAAUAGAUUUUAUAUAGCUUGUUGAUAAUUUCUCAGUCAUUUAAAGUAUAAAAUCACUUCUGUAACAUAAAAGUAAAAAGGGCAUGGAAGAAGAAAAUCUUCAUCUACAUGGUUUAGGAAGAAAAAAUGUAACUACAUUAAAUGCGUCUUUUUUUGCAGACUAAGGACAUUAAAUGUUAAAAAAAAUCAGUAGAUAAUAAGUCCUUUCAUCACUUCAUUUUACAUUUAUUUAAGUGAAAUUUAUAACAAUUGAUGUGACUGAUUCUUAAAUUUAAGACCAAAAUUUAUUUUUUUUAAAAAAAGAAAAAUAAAUCAACUCAAAGUAACACUUGACUGUAUGUUUGGGCACCAAGCCCAAAAUGAGCACUUUUAUUUUAUGGCCCAAUAAAAAUCGGUUGUUUCUUCCACAGUUCCAUAAUUUCUUCUGACACCCCAUAUUUCUUAAAUAUUAAAAAUAUCCUUUAUUCUAUUCUAUUAAAAAAUCUGAAAGGUAUUUUGAAUUUGGAAAUACCUUAAUUUUAUAAUAUAGAAUGUGUUUCUUUUAAAAAAAUACAUCUGAAUUAUGAAUUAUAAAAUCCGUCAGCAAUUUUUGAAUUUAGAAAUAUCUUUCAAAUUUUACAAUUGAGAAUGUGUAAAUUAAAAAAAUACAUUGAUUAUAGAAAAUACCUUUCAAAUUCUAUAAUCCAAAUAGUUUUGCUAACUCUACACCAUAAACAAUUUUAGAGUUAAAGUCAUAUUUUAUAAUACGAUUUUAAAUUUUUUUAAAAAAAUUCACAUAAAAAGUCAUAUUCUAUGAGUACGACUUUGUCAAUUUCAUUAAAAAAAAUCAUGACACUUUUGACAAUUUUGAUUAAACUUAAAAUUAAUUUUAAAUAAAGUCAUACAAGACUUAAAUGAGGAAUUCAAUUAUUUUACCUUGAAAUCAUACUUCUACUCUAAAAUAAAACAUACCCAUAUUUAUAAAUUUUUUUUAACUUAAAAUUGUAAUUUUUUUUAAAAAGAAAAGCAACUAUGCAUGGAUUUGUAUUAUACUUGGGAUGUGGUUUCUAAUAUCAUGUGCUUUUAUCUUUUGCUUUAGUAUGAAUACGUGUCUUUAUUACAAACCUAUUGCAAAACAUGGUCAUCACAAGAAUAUGAUUCUUCAAAUUAAAACUUAAUUUUCAAGAAAGAGGAGUUCAUAUGAUCCUCACAUAAAAUGGUUCCAAGUUCUAUUUAAAAGUUAAUGACUCCAAUUAUACCAAAUCAAUUCAUUGAUAAUGUUUAUUAAGUUUUUUUUUUAUUCUUUUCUAUAAUUUUAAUAUAUUUUGUCUUCUUUGUUCACUAAUAACUCAUAAUUUUAUAACUUUUAAUAAUUUUCUAAUAAGAUAUCUGUUUGAUUUUUUUUUUCAAGUCCACAUGUAUCUCUCGUAGGGCCUUUUUUGUUGGAGUGCAAAACAAUUUUUAUAGUGUAUAAUUAAUACAUGAACGAUAUAAUUUGUUGAAUAAAAGUAUCAUAGAUUCGGAAUCAAAAUAUAAGAUAUAAUAAGUUAAUUUAGAUUGAAUUUAACUUAAAAUUUACUUUCUUAAUAGAACAACCACUUAAAUAAAAACAAAUACUAUAAUUAAACUUAUAAUAAAGAACAAAAGUAAAGUAAAAAUCAAUUUUAUAUAAAAAAAUAUGAUUCUGGUAGUUUCUCUUCUUAUUUAAGCUCAUUCAUGCUAUCCAAAAUAUACAUAUGAGUAAUACAUUUUUAAAUAAUUUAGAAAUGUAAUUAAAUUAUAUACAUAUAUAAAAGAUGCAAAUUUUAUUUUACUAAGGAAAAACUGUAAAAUUUGAACUUCAUCAAAUAGUAUCAACUACACAUCUCCUUUGAAAGUUUAACAUACAUUAUUUUAAUUGAGAGAAUAAUAUAAUAUUACAGUUCUAUUAUUUAAGAUUACUUUUUAGAAAGGUGAUACUUUAUUUAAAAGGUAGUCAAACAUCAAGAUAUAAAAACAUCACAAGAAAUUAGUUCAACCUUAUUAAUAUAUAAUACACAUUCUUAAUUCUAUAUAUUUAUUUUUAUUUAAAAUUUGAUUCGAUUUUUAUUUGUUUUUGUAUUGCAUCUCUACAUGUGUAUGAUUGAGACAAUUUAUUUUAUUUUUUUAGUUAUGAGUCAAAUAAGUCAUUGUUACAUGAUCUUGUUUGACUCACAAACUAAUUUUUAUUGUUUAAAUCAACUUAAUACAAAAAAUGAGAAACAUAAAAAAAUAACUUACAGUUAUCAAACUAGCCCAAGGUUUAAUAUCACUUUUCAUUGUGUUGUAAGUUGUGAAACUCGGGCACUCCUCUUAAAUGGUGUGUCGGUGUCCGAUAUCUGUAAGAUACGUAUCCGUGAAGUGUCCAAUUCAAAAAAUAUUUGUUAGAUUUUUAACAAUUGUAGUACGGUUUUAACACAAUUUUAAAAAAGAAAACUACAUUAAUUUUCUAAAAAUUCAAGCUUUAUUGUAUAAAUUGUUAUUAUGAUUAUAAAAAUAAGAAACAAAUCAAUGUGAAUAGUAAUGAAAAACAUCUUUCUGCUCAACAAAAUAAUUUGAAACAUAUUUGUGCACAUAAAUUUUUAUUGUCAAUUUAUAUAAUUCAUAAUUAUAUAAUAUAUAGAUUCGUGUCCCGUGUCCUACAUUUUAGAGAUUUUAUGUAUCGUAUGAGUGUAUGUGCUACAUAUGUUAUAAGUUUAAAAAAAUUAAAUAUUAAUAAAUUAGAUUUUAUUUUUCUUAGCUCAAUCUAUAUAGGUAAUCUUACAUUUUUUUUUUAAAAUGAUAAUAAAAUGCAAAAAAAAAGGAAAAAAGAGUUUUAUUAAAUUGAAGCUUGACUUUUUACAAGAUUAACCAUUGAACAAAGCAUCAAAGGGGAAUUAGUUUGUAUUCUUUGCAUGUAAAAAUUUACAAGAUCCACAACAUCAUCAUUAUUAUUUUUUUUUAUUUAAAAAAAAAACAGAGAAAACUCUUUUCAGAGGUAAACACUCCAACAAACAAACAAUGAGAUGAGUGAGUAAAACGUCAGCAUCACCGAACACGCAAUUCCCUCAGACGGGAAGCGCCGCCGUGACUGGUCGCGGAUCCACUGCGCCGGAGUGCACCACAGCCUCCUCUAUUCUACCGUCAAAGUAAUCUUCACCGUUCAUCUCAUCAAGCACCAUCACCAAUCCCAUGGCAAAGGCCGCAUCAAAACCACUCUUUACGCAAAGCAGAAACACUUCCUUCCCCAGCAUAACGCUCGUGGUGGGGUCCACCUUGCGACGAAUCUCAGCCACUGUUUCCUUCGCCGCAUUCACUACCUUGCACCGCCGCUGCGGGAAACACCCUUCGAUCAGGUACUCCACACCCGCCCUAUCGUACACCUCCACCGCCACGCUCGUCCUCGACCGUCCGAUGAUCGACGAUCUCUUCACGCUGAAAACAGCUCUAUCUCCUUCCCUUCUCUCCCCUCUGAACCCUUCCCACCGUUGAUGAAGACUCGGUUUCUGUGAAAUCAAUUAAAAAACUUUCUCAGUUGUGAAAUAAUAGGAAACAAACAAACCCUAGUUUUCCAUUAACAAUUUCGAAUUUGUUUGUUAUACUUAUCAAAUCACCCAUUAUCAUAUUAUUAUCGGACCAUCUAUAAUAUAUAGUCUCAUACACGAAUUAGUAGUUUUGUGUCUUAGAAUCGACUAAUCAUAAUCUCUCAUCGAUCAGACUAUCUAUAAUAUAUAUAGUUCGACACACGAGUUAGUAGCUUCAUGCAUUGGAAUCCACUAGAGAUCUCACAUCGACUAAUCUCUCUAUUGAUUAGACCAUCUAUAAUAUAUAGUCUCACACACAAGAUUAUAAUCAACUAAAGAUUUUACAUCAACUAGAAAUUAUGAAAUUUCUUAAUAUAUAAAUGAGUGAAAAUCUCACCUUAUAAAUCAGUUUUAUGAAGUUAAACCGAGAAAGAAAAAAAUGUGUACCUUCCGGCGUAGAGUGAGAAGAGAACGGCCGCCGGGAUCCAUGAGAACAAGCUCGUCUUUGUCGCGUGAGCGUGGACCAUAGGAGUCGAAUCGGAAAACGAGUUGACCCUUGGAAUCGUAGACGGCGAAGCCAUCGCCGUUGAAGAAGAGAGAGGUUUUGAGCACUGUGAGGUGCCUCUCUUCGUUGGUAACGUACCCUUCUUGCACCACCAACUCCUCUCUCAUUUUUGUUCCUGUUCCUUCAACCUUUCACAUCUCGUGUUUCUAUAUAUACUGCCAAACCACAAUUGAACUGCAAUGGAAUAAGGAAAGGUAUCAAUGUAUCAUACAUAUGCUUUUGUUUUUUUCUUUUAGUAUUCACUGCUGCUACUAUUAACGUGGUAUUUUAUAUGUGUGGACAACAACAAAAGUAUCAUGCUUUCAUUUGCUUCCGUGUUUCUGUUGUUCCUGUUCAACCGUCUACAUCAUUCUUCUAUUUGUUUUCUACUUUCUAAUCAUAACCUCUCACCCACCUAAUUAAUCGAAUCUCAAACACACUGAUUAAGAUAUAGAAACAAAAAGUUAUUAAUGGUGGACACCACUAUGUACUAGAGACAAGGAUAAUACAUUUUAUGAUAUAGAAGUGCAUGCAAAUCUCAUUGGAUAAAUUAAUUAUAUAAGAUUGAGUUAAGUUUCAAGUCAACUUCUUAAUAUGGUAUCGGAACACCUUCCACACACUCUCGGCAACUUCUUACAAGACUCAUGGGUCUAAAUCUCACCUUAUAAGUCGAUUUUAUCAAGAUAUUUCGUAGUAUAUAAGAAUCUUACACUUAUAAUCGAAUAUCACUCGGAUGACAUAUUCGAAAUGGUUACAAAGUACCAUUUAAGCAUCCUUUCAUACAUAUUAUUAGUGUAAUUAUGAUACAAAUUGUAACCUUAAGGAUGAAAUUAUCUCAAUUACUCACCCUAAUCCAUACUCAAUAUCAUAGGUCUACUAUAACCCUAUAAAUUCGUACCCAAUAUCGGAAGUCUACUAUAACCUUGUAAAUAUACAUUCCAAUCAAGAUAACGAAGCUAAAAUUGAAGAGUAGUAUUUAUCAUUUUUUUUACCAUAUAUCGAUUACUAACUUAAACAUCAGAGUAUUUUUUUCAAAUAUGAUCACCAUGAUAUCAAUAAAGAAAAAUAUUUUACAAAACAAGAAGAGCACUUCCAAUGCAAGAACAUAAUCAUUAUAAAAUUAAUACUUAAAUAAAAUAUGAUCACGUGUGUCAUUUUCUUAUUGUCGAUCGAGAAAUCAUAAUAGCUAUAUAUAUCAUACUGAUAUUAUUUACGUGUAUUAUACCCACGUUUAUUUAUAUAAUUGGAUACCUUUUAUUAUUCAGUUGUAUUAUAUACAUAUGCUUCAAUUUUUCUGUCUGGUAUAAAGGUGUUAAGAUCCUAUCUCCAUUGCUUUUGACUUAAGGCCUUUAAAGAAACUUUUUUUGGAAAAAAAAAAUGUGUUGUCGGUAUACACUGAUUAACCUCAUUUUAAUUAUACUACUCUGAAAAUGAAAUAAAAGAAAUAUUAGUUAAAAUGUUCAAGUGAUUGAUGAGAAAGAUAAAUAAAAAGACACGUUAAUUAAUUAAGAAGUUACACAAAUUUGAACGUUAGUUUCAGUAAUUUAGGAGAAAUAGUCUGAUGAAUUUAUUAGACAAAGAGAGAUGGCACAACUAGUUUUUUUUUUUUUAUUACAAAAUAUUUAUGAUAUUGGAACUGUGUAAUUUUAGGAGAAAUAAGAAGAUUGAUGAACAUCCAAAAAUUGUAGUUAAUAACUGUAUUUUAAUUGCUCUCAGAAGUAUAUUUUAAUUUUUGAAAAACAAAUUGAUUUACUUUUUUUAAUUUUCUUAUUCUAUAAGUAUAUAUUGAAGAAAAAGUUUGUUCCAAUCGUAUUAUUAUAAUGCAUUAUUAAAAUAUCAUAAAUCAAUAAUAUUUUCCCAAUAGAACAAAAGUGUUAAUAAUUCAACAACCACUAAACAUCACACAGAGAAAAAGAUAUAUGCGUAGAAUGCCUUUGUACAAUAAUUCAACAACAUCAGAAGGAAAAAGAAUCAUUCAACACUGAGUGAAAGAUCAGACAUAUUUUAUAUAUAUAUAUAUAUAUAUAAAUAAAAUAUAAUAUAAUAUAAUAUGUGAGGUUUUGUAAGGUUUCUGGGAUUUUAUUUUGUUCGAUUAAUUAUUUUUCACGGAAGCUUCAAAGAAAUUCGACAUCAACUUUACUAAUUCUAAAUGUUAUGUAUUUGAUUAUUUACAAAUGUUAAUAAUAUACACUUUAAUAUGUCAUUUUAAUAGACGUAGUUAUUAAUUUAAAUUCAUUACAAUUUACAUAUUUCACUUUUUCUUAAUAGUCUCACAGAUAUGAUUUUAGGAAUCUUCGUAAAUUCUAGUUGAUAAAGUUGUGUUGAAAAAUAUGUCAGUGGAGCUAAUUUAUCUUUUAAACGACUUCGAAAACUCAUUAAAAAUUAAAAUGAAUAUUUGCAUUUUUUUAUAAUAUUUCGCAUUUGUCUUGACAUUAGGAUUUUAGUUGGUACCAGUUGAGUUAGUUUUAAUCAGCAAAUCACCGUAUGAAAAAAAUAGAAUAAUUAUGUGGGAUUUCUAAGUACACAAAUAUAUUUCAAACAUUUGUCGUAAAAAUCUUAUAAAAUUUUUGGAGAUAUAUUAUUUAUUUAUAUAUAUUAAAAAAUGAAUUUUAAGUUUAACUCAACUUUAUAAAAUCAGUUCAUAAAUGGUUGGUCAGUGAGUGAGUGAUCUGAAACCCAACAAACUCUCAUUAUAGUAGAGCCUACAUUAUUCUGAUACAUGUUAAGAAGUGAACUUUAAAUCUAACUCAACCUUUUAACGUUGACUCAUAAUACUAUACUAGAUUUACAUUCACUUAUGUCAUGAGUACCAUCGAAUGUACAUUUAACAUGUUUUUCUUAUUCAGAUUGGUGUCUCGGGUCGAUGAUAUGCAUAAGAUCUGUUAAAAAGUCGUAGGCGAGUGGCAAUUAGGUGGUAGCAUGAAUCUUAAUUUAGUUUUGUAGCUUAGUUUUAAAGCAUGUAUUUAGCAAGAAGUUUUAUCUAUACUUUAUUGUAUAAGGGUUGAGGUAUCUUGAAAUAUUUUUUUUUUUACUGAUAAAAAAAACUAUAAAAUAUCUUUAUUUUUAAUAAUUGUGAGAUUUCCAAUAAUAUAAAAAUAUAUUUCACAAGGAAAUACCAUUUGGUUUGAUUUGAAGAGGAGUUAGAAGAAGUUAUGAUUCAUCACAAUAUUUAUUAGUCUUAUCUAUAUAUGAAUGGUUGUGACGUUUCAAUUUAGAUUUUGAUCAAUUUUAAGAAAACUCCAAAAUGACAUGCAUCAAAGGAACUUGAGAAGCACAAUCACUAUCUACAUGUUUUUUCUAUCUAAGAAACUGUUAUGCUCUUUUCAAUAUGAUCCAUAUUUAACUUAGAGAGAAAAAUGUCAAAAAUAUAGUAAGUGUAUACGUUUACUCAAUAAAGUUAGUCCACCCAAAUGGAUAUAUAAUAAUAUCUUUUUGGUAAGUUUGGUAAACUUAAAUAAUUUCCCAACUUCACCAAAACUGAUUAAUUAUCAUGCAUCUUAACCUUAAGUUUUUGAUAAAAGCUUUAUUUUAUGAUGCCAUACAAAAAUUUCACUAGAGAAAACAGCUGUUUUAUGGAGGAGAAAAUAAUGUUAACCUAAAAAUUAUUUAUUAAUAAGAGAAACCAAUUUAAAUAUUAUUUAUUUAUUGUUUUUUAAUAAUGAAAUAGACAGUGACAGAAGUGACAAUAACAUAGUUUGUUUCAGUGAAUGUAUGAAGUCAAAAUUCUAAGCUAAGUAAAGAAAAGUAUAUAGCAUAUGAUCUGAUGUAAUGCAACACUAUGAUUCCAUUUUCCAUAGUCAAAACACGCUCCACCGUCCUCACUCCCUCGCCCACACAAAUUCUCUUCAUUUCUUUCUUUAAAUUAUUUAAUAAAAGUAAUAUUUUUGUACUUUGUUUUAUUUUAUUUUAAAUCUAGUAUGAAUAUGUUCUAAAAGUUUGUUUCUUAAUGCUCCAAAUUUUUCAUUUCAGGAAUUUAUAUCCCAAGAGAAUAUAUAAAAAAAUCUCCCUAUAAAUAGAAGACAAAUAAAAUAUGACCUCAAAAGUACACUUAAAUGCUCUAAUUUAACAUCUCCUUGAAUCAUAACUUUUACAAAUUUAUUCCACCACUAUAAUAAAUGAAUGGUUUAUUGACUAUGAUGGGUUAUUUUUUUUUGUUUUUAUCAAAAUGGUGUUCGUUUUAGGCAAGUCGUGCCUAAUUGGGACGACUUCAUAUACAGAAGUCGUAUCAAUUAGGCACGACUUCUGCCAUGUCAUACUAAAGUCGUGCCAACUUGACACGACUUCUGUCACGUCAUAAUUUUUUUUUUAAUUUUAUUGUUUAUAUAUUGGGUAGUAAGUUUAUUGUUUAGGGUUUAGUUUACUACCCAAUAUAUAAACAAUAAAAUUAAAAAAAAAUUAUGACGUGGCAGAAGUCGUGCCAAGUUGGCACGACUUUAGUAUGACAUGGCAGAAGUCGUGCCAAGUUGGCACGACUUCAGUAUGACGGGGCAGAAGUUGUGCCAAGUUGGCACGACUUCUGUAUGACGGGGCAAAAGUCGUGCCUAAUUGGGACGACUAAAUUUAUAAUUUUUUUUAAACGGACACCAUUUUGGUAAAAAAAAAAAAAAACUCCAUCAUGGUCAAUAAACCAUAAUAAAUAUACUACCAUCAUUAAUUUUUUUUAUAACUAUAUAUAUAUAUAUAUAUAUUAAAUUUCAUUACCUUAUAACUGUGCAUUCAUAAUGUGAAUUUUCUAUAUUAUUAUUUCCAUAAAUAUAAUAUAUUAUUUCACCCCUACUAUCCAGAAUUUGAAGUUGUUUCGUGUUUGUAGAUCACUUUAAUACACAUAUUUUGAUCUCUUACAGUAUCAAAUGGAAUUUGAAUUUGUUUAAAAAUAUUUAUCUUUUAAAAAAUAAGAAAUAAUUUUACUUUUUUUGCAUGAAAUAAUUAAUAGUUUCACAUAUUGGUAAUUUCAUCUAAAAACGGAUUCAUAGUUGUUUUUUUUUAUAAUUAGUUUAUGGUCUUAUUAAAUAUUAAUAUGUGAAUGUAAAAGAAGUGUCUAAACUACCAAAAAAUAAGGAUUUAUAUUUUCACUUAUUUUUUCACCAGCAAGAGUUGUUUAGAUACUAAUACAUUUUUCUGUGGCAAAAUCUAGACCAUGACGUGAUUAUUUUAUCCUUGUUAUAUUACUUACAAAAUUUUAAUUUAUGUAUCAUUAUUUUUUUUAAAAUCUGAUCCUAUCUUAUAUUUAAAUAUGAAUACAUAAAUGAGUAAUUACUAUAUAAAAUUAACUGAAAAUUAUUACUAAAAUUUAAAUUGAAGUUAUAUAUAUAAAAAUGCAUGUGUACUUAAGAAAUUAUAAAAUUGAUUUUUGUAUUUUUAAAAUGUUAAAUUAUGUAAAAGGGGAGAUUAUAAUUUUCCAUUAAAAUAAAAAUUAAAGUAUAAUGUGUAUGUGUAUAAUAGUUAUAAAUAUUUUAAUUUUUAUGAAUUAUAUAAUACAAAUAUUUUUAAUCUGGAUAAUCCCUUUCAAUAUGAAAAUUAAAAACGGGUUAACCAAUAUAAAGAUACUCAUGAAAGUGUGUAAUGAGUUACAAAGUUUUAUUUCUAAUUUUAAUUUAUUAUAAAUUAAUUUUGUUCUUGGGAUUAUGAAGUUGUUCUUUGUUCUUAAAAGGUAUUUUUUAUGAGUUAAAAAAUAAUGUGUAUUUAAAUUGCUUUAAUCUUAACUUUGAACAGGUAUAAAACUAUAUUUUAACCUCCUUAGAUUUAUUAAUAUCAUUAUAAAUGUACAAGAAUAACACCACCUUUCACAUUCUGUUUGGCAAUUGUUUGUUAACAAUUCCAUAAUAACCCAGGUUCGAAUCCUGGUUUGUGGUUUGUGGUGGUGUGAUGAGAAACAAACCCUCGUGAUGAUGAAUGAAUGCAUCAUGAUGCAUACACAAAUAUGAGGUAUUAUACAAUACCUCUCUUUUUUAUUUAUGACACUAUUUCAGAUAAUACAAUUUUUAUAUUAAUUUUGGAAUAUUUAUUAUAUUGGUUAUUAGAUUAAUUUUGAGUAGAAAACUGAUGUAAUGAGAGACAUACUACUUCAGUUACAGGUAAUAACCGAUGUAAUACAAGAUUAGUAUCGAUUUCAGUUGAAUCGAAUAUUAGUCUCAGCAUGACUAAGACUAGUAUCAACCCCGACUCAACAACAUACUAACUUUAACAUAACUAAGGUUAUUACUCUCAUGAUAAAGCAAACAAGGUAAAAUUUAAUUAGGGAUCAAGAUUUAAUACCUUAUAACAUAUACAAUCAAUAAUCCAACCAUUUUGUUAACAACUUUUGUCUUAAAAUUCAAAACAAGUGAUUAAGUUGUCCCAUAACUAAAUUGUUAAUUUCUUAAAACUCAACCUAUAUGGAUCUAUAAAUGAAUUCACAUAAAUUAUAUAAAGAUAUUCAGUUAUACAAAAAAUUAAAAGUUUAACAUAAUUAAAAAAUGAUUUGUUUUUUAAUAUUCCAAGUCAAAAAAUUAAGAGUUUGUUUCCUAGUAAUUCAAUUUUUUUACUUUAAGAAUUUAUUUGUUUUUCAAUACAUAAUUUUUUUAUCCAAGAGAUAUUAAGAAAAAUCUCCUCAUAAAUACAAAUCUCCCUAAUAGAAGGUAAAUCUGGCCUAAAAAGAACAUUUACAUCCUCUAAUUUGAUACUACUUAAACUUCCAACCAUAAUUUUUACAAAUUUAUUCCAACACUAUAAUAAAUUGAAAUAACAUAUAAUGCUAACAUAGUAUCACUAUUAGAUUUUUUUUAAAACCAUAUAUUUCUCUUUAAAAUCUGAUCUCAUCUUAUAUUUAAAUAUGAAGUCAUAAAAAAAGUAUUACUAAAAUUUAAAUUGAAGUGAUAAAACUAUUUAUUUUUAUUUUUAUAAUGUUAAAUUAUGUAAAAGGAGACAUUAUAUUUUUCUAUUAAAAUAAAAAUUAAAAGUAUAACGUGUGCAUAUACAAUAGAUAAAAUAUGUUAAUUUGUAUUAAUUAUAUAAUACAAUUAUUUUUAGUCUGGAUAAUCUUUUUCAAUACAAAGAUACUAAUGGUUAAUGGUGUAAAAAAUAUGUAAUGAAUUAUAAAGUUUUAUUUCUAUUUUUAAUUUAUUAUAAAUUAAUUAUUGCUCUUGGGUUUAUGACCUUGUUCUUUGUAUCAAUAUAAUCCUUUCUAGAGAUAGAUGAAAAAAGGGUAUGAUCCCUCUUGGUAUUAAACAUAGCAACAAUUGUAGAUCCCUAGAUUUGUUAAUUUAAAAAUAAAUGUACAAGAACAACACCAACAUUUCACAUUCUCUAUGGCAGUUGUUUAUUGACAAUUUCCAAAGAACCCAGGUUCGAAUCCUGGGUGAUGUGAUGAUGAAUGGUGCAGGAAGAAUUUGCCUAGAAACAUGAGGUAUUUCAUAAUACCUCUCUUUUUUUUUACAAAACAAUAAUAAAGUAGGUAUAGGUUUUUUAAAAAACUUAAACUAGACAUGCCAAUUUAGGGUUUUUAAACAUUGCAAUAUAGGUUACAUUUAAUAAUUUUUUGUAAUUAUAAUAUCACUUAUGAAUGUUUUAAUUAAUUAAAAAAAUUAAAAAGAUGUAUGAAAAUUGAAUGGAUUUUGGAUCUUUCUCUAUUUUCUCUUUUUUUAAAAUGGUUUCACAACUCUCCUUUUGUUAUUCUCCUUUUUCUAGUUGUAAAUUUUAAGUUUGAAUAAUACCUGCAAAAGAGACUCUGAUGUUCAAAUAAAAUCUCGAUAUUCAAUGGUCAGUAUAAGUAAUGUGUGAUGAUGACAUACUUUUUUUUUCAAAAUGUAUGACUAUUUAUAUAAUUAUCAUUAAUCUUUUGUUAUUAAAUUAAAUUAGAAUUUUAAAUUAUAAUUAAGAGUAUAUUACUUAAUGUUUAAUAAUAAUUUGAUUCUGUUAAUCUUUUGUAAACCUUGAUGAUUUUGAUUGUGUAAGUCGAAUUAGUCGGAUACUGGAAUCUCUAUCCGUAGAGAGAGUAAGUAUAUGUAAAAUGCAAAAGAGAAAGUAGUAGGUUUUGUUGAGAAAUGGAAAUAGAUAUUGGAAGAAGACAACACGCGGUGUCCUGUUUGAAUGCAGAUGGACAGAAGCAGAAGGGAAGAAAAUAGUCUCUGCUUUGUUUCUGCUUUCUUUUCUGCUUUCUUUCUGCUUUCUGCUUUGGGUCAACAAUUUGACUCACACCAUCCAUGUCCAUCAAACUUCAAUUCACUGACUCCACUGAAUACUUGGUAAUAACUUCAACUCAAAACCACAACACUCACGUCUUUUCUCACAAGAGGAUCAUACAUAUAUAUCUCUAGCCUUUUAGCUAACCUACCUACUCCAUCUUUUCUUUAAGCUUUCUUCAGUUUUUUUGACCCAUCUUCAUGCAUGCAUACAACAUAAAUUAGAUUCUCUUGCACAGGGACAUUGUUUCCUCAUUGCUUUAACCUCUACCUAGAUAGAGAGAGAAACUACACAACUUCUACCUUCAUGUUAUGUUAUGCUCACAAAAAAUUAAAUAAUCAAAAAACAUAAUUAUAAGAAAAUCAUUAAAUAAAAACUAAUUUUAAAAAUUAAAAAUAAUUAGUUUACGUACUUACUAAAUUAGAAACCAUUUUAAAAAUUAAAAAUAUUAUUGGUUUUUAAAUUAAUUUUUAUUAUUAAUAAAUAGUUUUUAAAGGUUUUUACUAUCAAAUUUAGAAUUUAAAUAAUUGGUAGUUAAAACUUUGUUAGUUAAUUAAAUAUCAAUUUUAAAAAUGAUAUCUAAUUUAGUUAUUAUAAUAACUAAUUAUUUUUAUCUCUAAAAUUAGUUUUUUUUAAUGAUUUGUUUUUAUAUAAUUCUUGAAUGAUGGUUGAAAAGAAACUUAUAUUGAAAAUGUGAUUUAUUGUGCUAAUUUUUUAACCUAAUGAAAAAUUGGAACUUUUUACAUUGAUUGUAUCUAUGUUGGUUGUUUAAUUGGUAUAAAAUGUCUAAAAGAACCAACAUAAAAAAAAAAAAAAAAACUUUGUUAUGGUAGUGGUUCGCUUUAGGAGCAGUGACUGCAUAAAAGCAAUUUCGUAAAAAGACGUCUCAGCAUGUUAAUGAAAAAGGAAUUUAUACGCAUUUCCUUUGACCUUAACUCUUACCUGAGUUCUUAUUUUUAGUGUAAAGAACCAAACUCUCCAACCAAAUUUAUUGGAACGACCUUCGCUGGAAAUGUUUUGAAUGUUAUUAAAGUAAUGACAUAGUUAUUAUUUUUACAAUGAAGUUGAAAUAAAGAGAAUGAUUAUUUUUCUAUUUAGUUAGUCGGUUUUUUUUUUCUUCUUGAAACGAUAUUCACACUCUUCUUUCAUUCAUCUACUUCUCGUUCUUGUGAACUUCAAACUCAGAUGGUACUUGUAAGAAACACUCCGCUUAAGUGAAAUCUCGGUGUUUGGUGCUAUUAAUACUGAAUGAUGACGUAUCUUAUUCUCGAAAUUUAUACUUAUUUAUAUGAUUAUCAUGUACCAUUUAUUAUUUGGCCGGAUUAAAAGUUUGGAUCAUGAUUAAGAAUAUAUUACCUAAUGAUUGACCACUGAGUUAGUUUUUUUAAUCUUCUGUUUAGGCAUAAUAAAUUUGGUUGUGUCGGUUGGUCCUGAUCAAGUACUAGACUUUCAGUUGUCGUACGAAUUCGACCAGUACAGUUCUUAUUCUUAAAAAAAAUCACUAAAUUAAGUAAUAUAUAUAAACUACCAUUAAACUCAUAUUAUAAUAUAUAUGUUAUUGAAUUUGGAAUACAUGUAUUAUCUAUUAUGUCUUACAAAUAAUGUGUAUACUUUUAAAUUUGAAUGUAUACUUUUUGAGUCAAUUUUUUCAAACAUACAAAGGGAAACUAUACUCGAAAGUAGGCUUUAUUUGGUAAACCAUUUUGCACGAACUUCGUUUAUUCAUUGCUUGUCCUUCAAUUCGUACCACUCUUACUCUUUAUGUAAUUUCUAUAAAAUAAAACCUAACAUAACUUAAAAACAAGAGAAAUAUUUUUUUUAUUUCAAGAUUUUGAACAAGAAAAAGUCAUGAUUCUUUCUACUUCUGCUUUCUUUUCUCUUUUCUCUUCUGUUUGGGUUUCAUUCAAUUUCCUCACCAAAAUGGUAAAAAGUACUAAAGCACUUUGAAAAGUAACACAUUUUAAAUUAUUUCUUUCCAUUUUUGUACUCUUGAAUAAUUUUGGUUAUAUUCCGUUUUCUGAACAGGUGGUGAAAUAAAAUGUCGUAAAAAAAAGUGUUCGUUUAUUAUGGUAUGAUAUGAUGGAAAAAAAAAAUAAAGAUAGUGUUUAUUGAAAAGUAGUGAGUUGAUUGUAGGUUGAGUUUUAAAUAUGAUAGUUAAUGAGUACAUAAAAUCAUAUUUCUUCUUUCUCUAAUACUCUUAUGGGUUUUGAUGAAAUGUUAUCUAUUUCUACCGGAAGAUUGUUGAUAUUUUCACCAUGAAAAACAAACUUGUUAUCUUUAAGAUUUUCUUGGAUUGUUUCACCAUGAAAAACAAACUUCUUAUUUUUAAGAUUUUUUUGGAUUGUUAUUUUUAUCUUGUUUUCUAGGUAUUUGUUAUGUUGUUUGGGGAUAGGAUAAUUUCUUAAGUAAUAUUAUAAUGUGUGUUAUUUCUAUGCUUGUGAAAUUUAGUUUAAAAGGUAGAUAUUUUUUUUGGAUUUUUUUUUCUUUUAGAGAUGUAACACGAACAUUCUAGGAGGUCAUUUAUCCUAUUACUAUUCUCAUUAAGAUACGUUUAACUGUAAAGUUCUGAUUAAAUCUAGAAUUAAGACACGUUUAAUUGCGGAGUUCUGAUUAAAUCUAGAAUUAAGACACGUUUAAUUGCGGAGUUUUGAUUGGAUUAGAACACUAUUUGUUUGUGAAUCACAAAGUUUCUGAGAUUGUUUUUUUUCUCUUGAUAGCUAUUAUGUUGUUGGGAAAGUGUAAGAUUUUGGUAGCAAUACUUUAUUUGGUGUUAGUUUCAUGAUUAAGCUUCUUAAUGCGAUAAGAUUAUAGAGAUGUUACACUAUCUGAUAAUUGAGACUGAGGUUGUUGUACAAGGUUUGGGUUAUAUUUUUUGAUUGUUUAUAAAAAAAAAGUAGCAUCAUUAUUUUCUGCAAUAGAAUGUUUUUGGUGGUGAGGGUUUGAUGGUAUUUUGUUUGGUUCCAAGCAGUUUCCUAUUGAAACCUUUUCAUUCCAUUCCAUUUCUCUCUACUAUGAACUACUAUGAGCUAAAAUCCAAAGAGAAAGUUUCUAGGAAUAGUAAAUAUCGAAGCAGCACCAACUUUCAAUAGAUUUGAUCCACUUUAGCCAAAAAAGUGAACAGGGUUACAGCGAAGCAUGGUGUAAGGAAGAGCAUGAUGGCACUACGUACACUAGAGAAUCCAAACAACAGACUCAGUGACCCCUUUUUUCUAUUCCCUACACUCCCAAGUACAAAACCUCUGCAUCCUUUGGUUUCGCUAAAACCAGAAACACCUGCUCUUAGCCUCACCAAACCACAAACCAAGCAACACAAAACCAAAAUACCAACAAAAAUAACCCACAAACUAUUUUUUAUCAUCACCCUUUGCUAAUUCUGCACUGGGUACCUAACUCCUGCAGCCAAAGCACGUUGCUGCUCAAUCUGUUCAUUACCAAACAUUAAACAAGUUACUUCAAGUUUUUCUCAAAUCUAGUUCAAAAUACUAGUCUUCUUUUACUCAGUAUCUUAUGUUACAAUCAUAAAUUGAUACAAGUUUUAGACAGAAAAAUGAGAUUAUAGACUGGUGCAAGUUGUAAAUAUAUUUCUAUAGUGUAGCAAAAUGAUUGUGAAUUUAAUAAAGCUCAAAUGGUAGAGUGCAACGUUACUUGGAACAGUUCGUGCAAUUUGUUCUUGAGAUAGCAGUACUCAUGCUCCAGCAUCUCCAAAGCUCGCAAGCAACUGCAACCGGGUGAAAAGAAUGGAAAAUAGUUGUUUGUUAGAAUUGGCAGUGACUAAUAUAUUAUGAACACAACAAUAUAAUUUUUUGUGGUACAUGGUUGAAAAGUGACUAGAAAUAUGGCACAGUUGUGGCAGCAUUAUUAUAUUCCAAAGUGUUGGAACGUGGGAAGAUGAAGAUUUGCGAAAGGGAAUAUUGCAAUAAAUGGAUAAAGUGUGAGAUGAUUAGAAGAAAUGGAAAAAGGGUAGUGAAAAAAGAUGCAGGAAAUGAGAGGGAACAGUGAUAGUUUGGCAAUUGGCACCCACCCAGCACGGUUAUUCUGGUCAGUAGCAGCACGAAAGGCCACGCAAACGUUUCUAACUCUCUUGGCGCCAAUGCUGGAGCUACUUCCCAUGAACUGAUUCAAAUGAUUCCCCAUUUUCUUAUAGUCCCAAAACUCUCUCUCCAUUCUGCAACCAUUCACAGUAACAUUCAUUAUUCUAUCAUCACUCAAACCUAUCCCAUCAUCAUUAAUCACUUCCUCAUAAUAAUAACUACUGCAAAAUUCACUACCUAACAAAAUAAAGUCAAAAUAAUGUGAGAAACUUCUGAAAUUAUUCUCUAACCAGCUCGGAAUCCUAGAGAACACAUCAAUCACAUUAACCUAUUCUAUAACAAGAUAACACAUUCUAAACACAAAACACAAAAUUCCAACAACUAAACUCAAACAAAAAUAAGUGAAACACCUAAAUGCCAAACCUGUUAAACCGAACUUGCAAUGAGUCUACUACACUUUAGCUAUAACUGAUAUAAUAAUAUUCAUACGAAGAAGCUGAGAACUGAAAACUGUGACUGAUGAAGAACUGUAUAGGAAGAGAAGAAGAUUUAUUACAGCAAAGCUCUGAGAUUGGUGAGAAGCUUUUCGGAUUCAUGGAAGUAGAUGUUGACAACCUCGGAUACGAAGUUUGGGGAGGACUCAUCCUGCAGCUGCUGAAGCUGCAAGAAUUGCUCAUCCAACACUCCCUGCUCAAACAAACAAAAAACAGCAUGCAUUAUUAAUGAUGCAUGUUUUGCCAAUUACUAUAUCUACAUGUGAGAAUUGCUACAUAUGUACAUGUGAGUGCAUAGGAUGAGAAAUCAAGAAGAAGAAAUGAAGAGGGUUGGAUUGGAUUGUCUGAAAGUGGUACCUGGUGGAAGAGGAAGGCAAGGAGACGGUUCAUGUCGGCCCACAAGAGGUCGGCACCCAAACCAAGCAUCCACAGUGGCAGACCCGUUUUGGCUGACUCUAUCAGUUCACUCAAUUUAUCAAAAGUGUUUUCGAGAGUGGCCCUUAAUGGAGAAUUGUUGUGAGUAUGGAAGAUAUAUAUAAUAUUUGCAGAAUCAAACUCAAAAACCUCAACUUUCUUUGUUCUUUUCUUGUGCUUUAUGUUCUUCUACAUCUGUUUAAACCCACUCUUGGACCACAGUAACUAUUCUUCUGCUGCACCCUCUUCCUUCAAUCCUGAGUUAACAAAAUAUAAAAAAAAUGAGUAAAUGAAACUGAUAAGAUGAAAGUUAAUGAAUUUAAUAUUUUAAACAUAUAAAACGAAUAACAGUGACAUUUAAACUCUUUGGGUUCUGUGAUCUCAACCCAAUUGAAUGCACCAUUAAUAAUUUUCAUGUGAAGGUAAUGAAAACCAUAAAGACUCAACCUUUCUUAAAAAAGAAUAUCUUUGACAACGUUAUUAUUCUGGAAAACAAAGCAUGAAAUUAAAAUGCAGAGGAAAUGGGAAAUGGGUAGGGGCGUGCAGGUGUUUUAGGUUAUCGAGGUGAGUGUGUGUUAUCUCCCGGACCAUCCUACAUACCCUCCCUGCAAGUUUUGUGUUGGAGGUAUGGGUGUGGUACCGACCUGCUGCCCCGGUAACCGGUCACUUGGCAUGCGCCUGUCUUCUGCUAAAUGCUGCGUCUUUGCAGCCUCUCUUCCCACCCGACACCACCUGCUGCCGGUAACCUGUCAGUCACCACCUUCCUGCCACCAUAUUCCACUAGCUAAACACAUCUCAAAUCCAUUGUAAUUAAUUACCUUUGCAUCAUGUUUUAUCAUAUGUGUAUGUGUGCAUGCAGAAUCGACAUGACAUGAUAUAUAGAGGCAGAGUUGAAUGCAUGGAGUGAGUCUGAUAAAAAAUGGUGAUUUGGGUGGACCGUGGCUUCUUUUUGUUUGUGGAAAAUAAGAGGUUAUUGAGAAGUAUACUUUAAUCCUAACUCAACUUCAUAAAAUCGAUUUAUGAGACUGAUGUUUGUAUUCACGUCGAGAGUAACAGCUCGUGGAAUAACAUAUUAUGAAUAUUCAGCGGUAACAUGAUAGACCCAACAAACACUUGUUAUGAUAAAUUUUAAAUGACUCUGAUAUCAUAUUACUAUUACGAAGUGAAUUUAAACCUAACUUAACCCCGUAAAACUGAAUACAGUUGAAGUUUACACUCACUUAUAUACAAUAAAAUAUCAUCAAUCACAUACUAACACUAAUAUAAACACAAAUACGAUACUACAUGUAUACGAAUAGGAAAAUAUACCUGUAGUGACACGAGUAUAUAUUAUAUAAAUUAAGAAUAUAAGUCUAAAUACUGAAACAUAAUUUAAGAUGAGUGUACGCUCAUAAUAGGUGGUGACAAGACAAAUGCUUAUGAAGAUGGUUCCACCUUUCUGAUGAGGUUUGAAACCUUUUUCCACUUUCCCGAGGCAAAUGAAAAGGAAAAGGAAAAGAAAGAAAAGCCUUGUAGGUAGGGAGAGUGAGGGUGAUGGUACAUCGAAAUCAGGGCAUAGAGAAAAAGAAGAGAAGUUUGAAGUUUGAAGAUAAUAACGCCCGUUGAACAAGGCUGUCAUGGCUCAUACGUGUACACUGUGCAAUGCAGGUAAGGGUCUUGCAAAGUUUAGACCAUGCUGGACACGUGGUGCAUUAUGGGUAACUUGAGUUUUUUUGUCUGUAGAACAAGCAAUUUUAAUGGAUGAUCAGAACAACACUUUUCAAUUCUAUGUUCAUUCACGGUGAUGGACCACCCUAAGAAACCAGUUAACAUUUGCACCUAUUAAUAAACUGUUUCUGCCACCAUUUUAGAUAUGCAGUUUUUUUAUACAUAAAAAACACUUGCUUAGAUUAGGAAUGUAAGUGGGGUUCACAUUAUCUAUCUAGCUCAUGAAUUUUCUAUUUAUUUUUUUUUAUACUUCAUUAAGUUUUACUUACUGAACCAAUUUAUAUAAUUAGCCUAGAUAAUAUUAUAGUGUAUGGAUUUUAAAUGUGAUAAUUAAAUUCAACCCCAUCUUAUAACAUAAUAUAUAUUAUUUAUUUAAUUAUUUUUUUGUAUAAAUAAAAUUAUGUGAAUAUUUUUUAGAUUGAGUUUGAUGAGUUGUGAGAAAAUUCUGAUUCUUUUUUAAUAUUUUAGUAUUUUAUGUCUUUACAGUAUAUUUUAAUCACUUAAUUAUGUGACCCAACUCAAUCUUGUUAUAGUUGGGUUGUUAAAUAAAUAAAAAAGGCUAAUUCAACUCAUUCCAAUACAAUUUAAUUAGAUCGAGCUUAAAAUUAUAUUGAACACACCACUUACACUCCUAUAGUUGAAAGGAUAGGAUUUGAUAAAAAAAAGUAUAGUUUAUUAUAAUUUUUUUACAGUUAUUUUUUUUAAUAUUAAUCUAUAUAAAUAUUUUAGCUGAUAAUUUUUUGUGAAAUUUUAUUUAAUUUUUAUUAUUUUUCAAUUGAAUAUCGAUAAGAAUAAGAAAAAAAAACACAAUUGAAGAAGAAUAUUAAAUUGUCCAACCGUAAUAAUAGUGUCUAAGCCCCAUUAAAAUAGACAAUAACAUAUAAGUCAAAAGCUGAAAUGAUGUUAUUUUAUCCUCUUCCUUUUCAUAUAAUUGGCACAACAAUGCUGAUUAUGUUAUAAAGGUAAUCAUCAAAUUUGGUUCUUCAUUUUUAUAAGAUAAUCAUUAUUUGAUUAUAACACAAUAGAUUAUAAUAAGUUAUGAAAAUCAUCAUUACAAUAAAUUUAUAAUGAUAUUUCAUAUUAUUAUUUAAUAUAAGUCUAAGAAUAAUUCAAAACCAAAAAUAACUACCCUGAUAAUAAUUUAUUUUGUGCUUCUUGAGUUUGGAAUAAACUUAGAGAAGUACUACUGGCAUAUACUCAAUGUUUUUUACAAUGCUAAUCAUUGUUUUAAACAAAAAAUAAUUAGUGGUAAAAUUAUCUAGAAGUUGAAACGAAUUAAAUUUUCUCAAUUAUAUCGAAAAAUUCUUCAUACAUAAUUUCAUAAUUUGAUUAUUUGUGAAAUGGUCGAUAAGAAUAUUAAUUGUAUUUGAAGUUCUUUUGUACUCCUUUGUUGCAUCUCGUUUGUUUUUUUUUAUGUGUUUUGUGACUUUCAAAAAUAUGGAAAAAAAUAAGUGAACAAAAACACAACUAUCACCCGUAAAAGUAUCAAAAAACUUACUACAAUCACUAAUAUUCAUCACUAGUUACUAUUAACCACUACCACUUAAAAAUAAGAAGAAAACACCACACUUUAUACUAUACUCAUAAGAAGGAUAUUAUUAAAAUUUCAGAAUCAUUUUUACACAUCCAUCAAGUAUAUAUAUCUCGAAAAGCCCGAUCUCAUAAACAAGUCUAAAUAAUUUUUCACCAGCUUAAUUUUUCGACCUAGAAGCUUAAUAAUAAGAGAAACAUUAACAUAUUUGUAAAAUGUAUUCUUUUAUUUAUUGAGUAAAGUUUAUACAAUUAUUAAUAUUUAUGUAAAAAAAUUGGAAUAACAUUAUUGGAAUAAUAAUCUAAAUAAUAUUAUUUUGUUUUGGCAUAGCCCGUCUAGCUCAGUUGGUAGAGCGCAAGGCUCUUAACCUUGUGGUCGUGGGUUCGAGCCCCACGGUGGGCGAUUUCUCUUAUUUUUUUAAUUUUUUUAAUUUUUUAUUUACAUUUGUUAAGUAUUUAUUUUCUCUUAAUCUAACUAAAAUUUGUAGCAUGACCCACAUUUAGAAUUUAUGCAUUAAUUUGGUCCGAGAUCAAGUUCUAUUGUGAAUAACUACAAAUUACCACAUGAGAUGAGACAAAGCUACUAAAAUCUGGAAGAAUCUCAAAGCAUAUCAUACAUACUAUUAGGAUACAUUUCUAUGGCAACCAAAAUCUCUAUAAACUUAAAAAUAAAAAAUCUUGAAAAAUAAUUAGUUCAUUCAGAUACUAGGAGAACUUAAAUUUGUGCAUUGUACAGCUAGUGAGUUCAAACUCCAGAGUAAAACAAAAAAUAAGAGUACUUAGAUAUGUUAUGUACUUAUAUCCUAAUCACAUCAAUAAACAAUAUUCACAAAGAAAAUUAUAAGAAAUGAUACAUAAAUAGAAAUAAUCAAUUCUUUUUAGACCAUAAUUAUAAUAGCCUAGCCUGGUCCGGCCCGUUGGACACUAGAUCAGCCCGUUGGGCUGGAAUAUUUUUUACAGAUCCAGCAAGUAUAUAUAUCCCAAAAGCCCGAUCUCAUAAACAAGUGCCAAUGAUUUUUCUUGAGCUUAGUUUUUCGGCCCAUUAAAGAUAAACCAUUGUUAAGCUUAAUAAGAGAGAGGGAAAACUAACAAAUUUUCAUUUAUUAACUGGUGUAAGUGAAGUGCUUGAUAGAGUGGUUGAUGGAUAAAAUAGUCUUAAAAAAUGUGUAAAUAUAAUUAAAAAUAAGUUAAAUAUAAGUUAUAGAUAAUUAGAUAAAUUGUGAUUGAUUAAAUUAAACGAUCCUAUUUAAAAAAUGUAAAAUGACCUAUAUUUAGAUUGAUGUAGAAGUCAAAUCAGAAGAUAGUAAUUUUGACCAAAAAAAAUAAUGUUACUAAAAUAAUUUAAUUAUAAGGCACAAGUUAUAUUUAAGUUGAUUCAAUUAUUUAAAUAUUUCUAAUUUAUUAUCUUGUUGGAAAACAUUGUUAGUUGAGAGAAGUGUUCAUAGAAACAAGUUUGAGUAAUUCAUGCUCUAACUAGUUUAAGUUUAAAUUAAAAAGCAAGACAUAUAAAUAUAAUAUCCAAGCUGGUUUUGUUUUACAUUGAAAUAAAGAGAAAAAUUAACGUAUUUGUAAAAUGUAUUCUUUUAUUUAUUAAGUAAAUUUUAUACAAUUAUUUAUAUUUAUGCAAUUUUUUUGAAAAAUUGUAAUCUUUAUUUAGUUUAUUUUGUUUAGUUUUUAUAUAGCCCGUCUAGCUCAGUUGGUAGAGCGCAAGGCUCUUAACCUUGUGGUCGUGGGUUCGAGCCCCACGGUGGGCGUUUUCUAUAACUUUCUUUUCUUUUUUUUAAACUUUUUUUUGUCUAUGUCAACAAUGAAACUGGACGGUGAAAGUAUGCAUUUUUCAUGCCAUGAUUAUUGGACAAUCUUCAGCACAUAAUGAACAUGUUAAACCUUACUUUAGCAAAGAAUAAUAACAUGUGAUUGUAGUGCACAAAGUUUGGUUGACAAUUCCAAUGCCACUUCCUUCAAAUGUGGUGGGGGCCAAUACCAUACAAAUCUUGCAUUUGUGUUUGGAUAUGCGUUGAGAUAGUGCACUAUUGCUUCUCUGUUUACAUGCUAACACAAAAGCUACACACUUGGUCUGUAAUCAAAUUAUGACUGAAUGAGUUUGGCUUCAGAGCCACUCAGUUUGUAUUAUUAUGCAAUGAAGAGUACUGUGCAGCCAUUGGGUUGGUAUGAACAGGGAAGCAUUACAAAUAAAUUGUUCCAAAGUGAUGAUGAUUAAGGAGGAUGAGGAAGGUGACAAGGAUAGUCAUAGAAUAUUCUACUGUAUCAGUUAAUAGUGAAUUUUUUUUACUAGAUGGUCAAAUCCAGCAUUCAUGUCCAUGAUGGCUGAAAGUAAGACCCAAGAAGAUAAUUUCCCUACCAAAACCAAAACCUUUGUGCCAUCAACAUGUACCUAUCAAACUCUUUUCCUUCAUUUUACUACUAUUUCCAACACUCUUUUUGUUAAAGGACAAAAAAUGUGUUUCAUGUGGUUAUUGUAUCACUAUUGAAUGCCAUUCUCUGCUUCUGACUCUCUGUGGGUAACUUGACUUCAGUGGCCAACCCAACAGCUUGGAGAAAUCUCACAACGUACCAAGUCAUGUCUAGUUGCCACCACUCUAGUCCAUGUCGAGCUGAAUACUCAAAAGCAUGGUGGUUAUUGUGCCAACCUUCACCAAAUGCAAGCAAUGCCACCCACCUGUCAAAAUUUUCAUUUUUUUAGAUCAGCAUGUGAACUAGAACCAAUUAUCAAACUAUGAAAAGUUUAUGAUAAGAAAAAUUACCAAUUAUUUCUGGACAAGUCCCUGGUGUUCCAGGCCUGAUUCCCCCAUACAUGGCAAGCUGAGUUUACAAACCAGGUUAUGUGAUAAACCCAAACAAUCCUCACUCCCUGCGUUUAUCAAAGAAAGGUGUAAUUGAAAUAGUCUAGUCUACCAAAUUGGUUCUCACUUUUCUUUUUUCUGAUAUGAGUUGUGUUUAAAGAACAAAUAUUCUUUUUAAAGUGAAAGUAAAAUGAGAGAAACUUUUAGUACCAUUCCCCAAACUAGGAAAGGAAAUCCUCCUGCUGCAUAUAGAAGGGUUCCCAAAGCAAAAGGGUGGACAAGGUAAGUGCUUCGGAGAAGUCUAUAAAAAGGUUGUUUCUCUAAAUCAACAACAUUAUUUGGCUCUCCACACUGCACAUACAUAAAAUAUCCCAUGAUAAAUUUGCAAAAAUUAAGGUUGUUUGCUUAUGCAGAAGAGAGGUAGAGAUAAACAUUCAUAUGGUGUCUAUUACACAUACCCUUUCAAUGAUAGAAUUAGUAUCAAAGAGCCAGCUCAUAUGGCUGAACCAGAACCCUUCAGUGGGGCUAUGAGGGUCUCUCUCAGAAUCACAAAACUGGUGAUGGUAUCUAUGUGUGCUUACCCAAUCUAUUGGGUUUCCCUGCAUCACCACAACAAAACAAAAACAAAAGCAUGAAGAAAGAUACGGAGAAAGAAGAAUGGAAAGGUUUUGAAGAAACAAAAUCCACCUGAAGUGCCAGAGCCCCACAAUAGGCAAAGAAAUAUUCAAGCCAUUUGGGAAGCUUGAAACUCCUAUGAGAAAGGUUCCUGUGGAAAGAAAGAGUGAUGCCAAAAAGGCCAGUGACAACGUAGAGAGCCACAGCCACCCAAAAAGCUGGCCAAUUGAAGUGGAAUGGAGCAAAGAGGCAAAGCACAUGCAUGACCAACACCAUUCCAGCAGUGCCAACAUCUAAAGAGUUCCAUUUCCUCCCAAAGAAAACACUCCUCUCUCUCUUCACCUCAACUUCAGACAACAAAAUCCUUCUGUGUUUCAGUGACCCCUCUGCCUCCAAACCCCCUCCAAAUGCUGCAUUGGCCGUGGCUUUGGCCGUCACUGCCAAAUUAUAGCAAAAGGGGUUGUUUUUAAGGGAGAUUUUGCUUUGUUUUUGGUCAAAGCUGAAGUUUUUAAUGGACCCAAGACCAAGAACAGUAGUACUAUUAUCCCGCCGUGGAAUUGAGCGGUGAAGGGUGGUGCAGCGGUGGAAAAUGGGGUUUUUAGGUUGGGUGGUGAUGAGAGCCAUGGAAUGGAAGCAAGGGAAUUGAAUGAUUUUUGUGGAAGGUGGUGUUGUGGGGAUAAUUGGUUUGGGUUUUAACGUGGUGAGGUUGAUUGUGACGUGCAAGUGCAAGUGACCAAACAAAACCAUUAACAAACAUGUGGUGUGGCCGGUGUAAGGAAAAUGGAUUUUGAAGAGAAAGGAAAAUUGUGGUGAAGUUAAAGCAAGUGGAGACAGAGAGAAACAGAGGAUAACUCAAGCUGUUGGCCUGUGAAUCACAUUGGUUCAAGGGGAUUCGAAUCCAACAACCUUCUCAUCUUUUCAUUUCUCAUAUAAAAAACACACUUCUGUCUUUUUUCUUUUUUUUUCUGUCAGGUAUUCUAAGUUGAAAAGAAAACAAGAUAUUGGUCCUAGUUCCUAAAUAUAUAUUUUUUUAAAAUUAUUUGUGAUACGACUAUUGAUGAGGUCGAGCCCAAUAAUAAAGUGUGAGAAAUACAUGAUAUUUAUAACUGAAUUUAAUUAAAAAGAUUUUUUUUUAUUUUUUAUAAAGAAGAUAGAACUUUAGUUAUAGAGAUUGAUUGUAAUUGCUUCGAGAAUAUAACUCAAGUGGAAGUGGAGAGAACACUAUCCUAUACAAAGAAAAGAAGAUAACCUGAUAGAAAAUACUCGAACUCAGAUAACACACGAGGACAUCAGCUUAAAAGAAGUAAUUUCAACCUAUGUAGCAUAGACACUGACACGAAUACGAUACGAUAUGAAUACCGUACAAAUACACACGGAGAUAUGUAUAAUCUCUAAAAUUAGAACACGGGAACAUAUAUCUAUAUAUUAUAUAAUUAUGAAUUAUAUAAAUUAAAAAUAAAGAUUUAUGUGCAUUAAGUAUGUUUUAGUUUUUUUGGAGAAAAAGAUUUUUUCAUGACUGAUUCAAAAGAAUUUGUUCUUUAUUUUUAUAAUCAUUGUAAUAAGCUUUAGUUUUUUAAAAAAUAAUGUAUUUCUUAUUUUAAAAAUUGUGUUAGAUCCGUGUUAGAAUUAUCAUAAAUCUAACAAAUAUUUUUUGAAUUAGACAUUUCACCGAUAGGUGUCCGUCCUACCCGUGUCUUACGAGUAUCGGUAUCCGAUACGUGUAUCUGAAACGGACACGCCAUUUAAAAGAAGUGUCCGAACUUCAUAAAUUUCAACUCAUGUUUUACACUAUUUUCACUAUAUACACCUAAAUUCUAUCCAAUGGUUAAAUUAAUAAUACUAUAAAAUUAAAUUUUACUCCAAAAAUAUAUAAAAUUAUAUACUAUAAAAUUUACCAAUGUAUAAAUAUAAAAUUGUAAAUAUUUAUUCAAUCAAACCUAGAAUUUGCAAUUACUUUUGCAACCGCAUUCACCUUAUUAUUAACGCAAAAUAUCAAACUGUAUUUUGUAGUUUUUAAAUAAAAAUGAGGAAUCCGGGUCAAAAUGUAUUUUUGAUAUUUCGAGAUUUAGGUUUUUGAAAUACUUUUUCAGAUUUUAGAAUUUUUUUAAUAUUUUUUUUAUUCUGGAAUUGUUUUUUAGAAUGUGAUUUUAGUUUUCUAAUUCUAUUUUAUAAUUUUAUUUCAAAAGCAUAAAAGAUCUAUUCCAAUUUUUUGUUUUUAGAAUGUAUUUUUAAAUUACAGAUUUUUAAUUCCAGAAUGAAGGGCAAUUUUGGAAUUUUGAAUUUUUUAUUGGCUCAUUGGGUGCAUGAAGCAAUUACUGUUAAAAUUUUAUUAGGGUAGAUUUAUUUAUUUUUUAAUUGGUAAAAUUGUAAAAGAAAAAAUUAAUACUCUUUUAUUGGUUACAAUGCAUGCAAUUCAUUUUAUUUAUAUUAUUAUAUAUUUUAGUUUACUACUUAUAAUACAAAUUAUUUGUUUUUACUUAAUACUAAUAAAAACCUAUUUCAUUAACCUAUUAUGCAUAAAAAAAUAAAUUUAUAUAUUAAAAACUGAUUUAACCAACUAAUCUUUUAACCUUGAACACACUAAAAGUUGGAUUAGAAAAAAAUGGGUUGAUCAAUGAUGAACUAACCUUAAUGUUUUGGGUUAGUCAGAAUUGGCAUGGCAUUAUUCAAAACAAAAAUCUCAAAUGAAUAUAAUUUGUAUAUUAUUUCUAUAUUACUAAACACUUUCGUUUCUAUAAAAAAAAGUUUUGUUAUGAGUAUUGUAAAGACAUUAUAUGAUGAGUUUUUUUUUUCUAAAAUAUGAUAUAUGGAUAAUCAUGCACUAGAUUAUAACUAGAAAAAUAAAUAAUUUUUUGUUUAUUAAAAUAAAAUAAUUUAAAAAUUAUAUUAAUAAAUCAUAAUGGUAAACUGGUAUAUUUUAAUUUGGAGAGUUAUCAAAGUAACAUUUUUCUUUUUCUUUAGUAUAUUGUGUUAAAAAAUAUCUGAAAAAUUUGACUAAUAUUGUCUUCUUAGAAAAAAUCUUUGGUUAGAGCUGUUAUUUCUCUGUCAUACCCUUUGCCACUUGCCACUUUCUACACACACUGAAAAAUAUCAUCUAUCUCUUGUUAUCUCUUGGCUAUUAUAAAUUUGGACAUGUUCAACUCUUAGAUAUCACUUUGCUUCUUCUCUUCACUACCUUACCUUGUUCCAACCAGACAUGGCUGCAACCAAUGCCUCUAUCUUUGCUUCUCCCACACAACCAUGCUUGCCUGUGCCUCCUACCAUUUCAAACACCCUUUGUCAGUCCCUCUAACAUGCCUUUAUUUCAUUUUCUGCCAUAUUUUGUCAACAAUAAUAUGUUAUAUAUUGUAUCAACAUUUAAGAUUUUGCUGCAAAGGACCAUGUGAUUUGAAUAUGCAUAAUUUUUAUUAUGGGUGCUCUUAUGUGUUUAUAUCUUUCUUGACUGCUGCUAAAAGUCCUAGAACAAAGUUUCUCCACCUUGGUGGGAAUCAAAAGAAACCAUAAUUGCAUCAGAACUUUACUAAAGCUAAAACCUGUUGUGUUCUUAUCUGAUCUGACCCUUUUGACAAUUUCCUUCCUUUAAUCAUUUCUCACUUUGGUGGAACAGGAGUAGCUGUUGGGUUGUUAUAAUCAUUUUAAUUUCAUAAGAUGGUUCAUUAAUACUGAAUCUUUUGAUAGAUUUAUAGCCACUCAGACUAUAAUAUUUUUGUUCAAUUAGAUUUCUUAUCCCUUUUUUCUACUGUGGAUUUUUCAUCUUAAUAGGAGUGUGAACUAUGUUGCAUAUUUCAAUCAAAUGUAACACUUGUCAUUUCUCAUGCAGCUAGCCCUUUUCUCAAUGUGUCCUUACCAAAAAGUUACCCUGUGAAGCAAAAGCAUAUGAAAGUUAGCAAAAAGAUCAGUGCUGCUGCUGUUGCAACACCAACAACAACAACUGAGAAAAUUCAGGAGUAUGAAUUCCCCUUCUUGAUGAUACCAUUUACUAUUUUUGCUUUUUUUUUCACAUCACUAUUUUAGUAUUAUACAUAUUGGAAACUAAAUAGUGAAAGGGUGGUGGGGAUGGUGCUCAAGUUAUGCAAAUAAAAGUUAGUUUUGGAUAAACUUACUACAAAAGCAUCAUCUAUUAUUAAUGUUUUACAGGUACAAGCUUCCUUCAUGGGCUCAGUUUGAAAUUGGGAGGGCUCCUGUCUAUUGGAAAACAAUGAAUGGCCUCCCUCCCACUUCAGUAAGUGUAAUGUUUUGAGUUCACUGAUUGCAAGAUACUUAAUCCAUUACCUUUUAGAUAUGAGCCUCGGAUACACUUAUCGGACACAUACCACACUUGUAAGAUAUUGAUGAAGUGUCUAAUUCAAAAAAUAUUUGUUAGAUUUAUGAUAAUUUUAGCACGGUUCUAACACAAUUUUAAAAAAAAUAAAUAUAUUAAUUUUCUAAAAACUCAAACUUACUGUAUAAAUUUUUAUUAUGAUUAUAAAAAUAAGGAACAAAAUUCCUUUUGAACUAGCUAUGAAAAACAUUUUUCUGCUUCGAAAAAAAAAACCGAAACCUACUUGUACACAUAAAUCUUUAUUGUUAAUUUAUAUAAUUCAUAAUUAUAUAAUAUAUAAAUUUGUGUUUCUGUAUCCUACAUUUUAGAUUAUACACGUAUUUUCAUGUCCGUAUUCGUGUUGUCAGUGUCUAUGCUACGUAGUCUUUUAGUAAUUUUUUUACAAAUUUUGGCAGGGAGAAAAGGUAAAGCUUUUGUAUAAUCCAGCAGCAACUCAACUUGUCCCUAGUGAAGAAUUUGGAAUUGCUUUUAAUGGUAAUGUUUGUGAUGAUUGGCAUGAUCAGCAAUAUGUUUGAGAAAGUAAUUUUGCUUAAUACUUGUUCGUUUUUCUAGUUCUUUUCCAACUGAGUAGUAACAUUUCAUUCAUUCAGGAGGUUUUAAUCAGCCAAUUAUGUGUGGUGGUGAGCCAAGGGCUAUGCUUAGAAAAAAUAGAGGCAAAGCUGAUGCCCCAAUAUACACCAUUCAGAUAUGCAUUCCAAAGCAUGGUAAUAUGGUACUCUUGCUUCU